UUCUUCUCUGCGUAAAUGAAUCUCUUUAUGUUAAUUGUACAGAUUCUUUGUUGUGGUGAAUUACCAUUCAUUGGAUUAGCAGAGAAGGUAGAGCAGGAGCUUGUAUGGAAGGCUGAACGUUCUGAUCUCUUAUCAAAGCCAAGCUUGUAUAAGUUACUGUAUGCUUUUGAAAUAUGCCGACAUAAUUGGCAAAAAGCAGCAAGUUAUAUGUACCUUUAUUCAGCUCGUUUGAGAAUGGAAGGAACUCUAGGAGAUAACCAGUUAAGUUCCUCGUUGCUGCUUGAACGAUUGAAUGGCCUUUCUGCUGCUAUCAAUGCGUUGCAUCUUGUUCAUCCUAAUUUUGCGUGGAUUGAACCCCCGGUUGAAAGAGAUGCCAUCCAGAGUAAGCAGUACCCAAGUAAGAAAGCUAAAAGAACUGUUGAUGAACAGUUUGCCAGAGAUGACACGAAGCCUCAGAAGCGGAAUUCUUAUAUUGAUAUGAAGCAACUGGAAAAUGAAUUUGUGCUAGCCUCAUCAGAGUAUCUCCUUUCAUUAGCAAAUAUCAAAUGGCCAUUCACUGACUGCCGUUUGUCAGGGAUUCAUGAGGCCCCUUCAGAGUUGGUUGAUCUUCUGGUCCAGAACAAUUUUUAUGAUAUGGCAUUUAUUGUUGUUAUAAAAUUGUGGAGAGAUUCAGCAUUAAAGAGGGAGUUGGAAAGAGUUUUCUCUGCCAUGGCAUUGAAAUGCUGUCCUAGUAGAUUAAGUUCAUCUGGGGUUCGGAAUGAUCCCAGAAUAAGUAGUCUUCUAUUGGUAUCCCCAAAUGGGCAAAAUGACGUUCAUGGUUCACUUGAUGUGCUUCCUAGUAGUCAGCAUCUCAGUGGAAAUGGCCAUUGGGAGACUCUGGAACUUUAUCUUGAAAAAUAUAAAGGUUUCAACGCUAGAUUGCCUAUUAUUGUUGCUGAAACACUUCUUCGAACGGAAUCUCAGAUGGAAUUGCCUCUUUGGCUGGUUCUGAUGUUUAAGGAUGGUCGAAGGGCAAAGACAUGGGGGAUGACUUGUGAAGAAGCAAAUCCAGCAUCCUUGUUCCGUUUAUAUGUUGAUUAUGGGCGAUAUACAGAGGCUACACAUCUGUUGCUUGAAUGCAUGGAAUCAUUUGCAUCAAUGCCACCCACAGACAUAAUUAACAGAAAAAGACCAUCCUCUGUUUGUUUCCCCUACAAUGCCGUUCAGAACUUAUGGUGCAAAAUAGAUGAAUUGAUCCGCUCAGGUCACAUGGUAGAUGCUUGUGAGAAGCUGAGAAACCUACUGCAUGGUGCUUUGAUGAAUCAUCUGAAGCUGCUUAAAGUCGAUGCAGAUGAUGUUAUAUCUACCAUCGCUUAAUAUACUCUGGACUACUUCGUGCCGUUUCUAUGAUGCCAGACAGGAUCCUCACUUUUACUCGUUCAAAGGAGCAAGUUUGUAAGCUUAGGACCUGUUUUAUGCUUCUUUGCUGAACUAUUUGAAGAUCUGUCAAUUAUCUAUGUCGAUGACACACCAUCUUCUGUUCAAGAAUGCUCCUAAGAUUGGUGAAUCAGACAACCAAGCAUCCAGAGAUGCCAUGGAUAUACCCCAGAUUGGGAGCUGCCGUUGGGUAACGGUCACUUUUGUAGCCUUGAAUAUUUGAUGUUUUCAUUUGUUUACAACAUUUUAAUGAUGUAAUCAUAGACUAGAAAUUUCAUCAAGCUCCCACCAGCGAUACGAAAAAGCAUGUAAAUGGGCUAUAUGCUCGAGUUCGUGUAGCAAACUUGGCAGAACGGCACCUUAAAUGACGUUUUAGAUCAUGAUUUUGUCAAGUGCUUUAUGCAGAAAAAUGUAGAGUAUUCUAACAUUUUGGAUGUUUGGUAUCAUGCUCAUUA